rnacentral:misc_RNA from 1 species
GAAAUGCGAUAAGUAAUGUGAAUUGCAGAAUUCAGUGAAUCAUCGAAUCUUUGAACGCACCUUGCGCUCCUUGGUAUUCCUUGGAGCAUGCCUGUUUGAGUAUCAUGAAAUCUUCAAAGUAAAUCUUUUGUUAACUCAAUUGGUUUCUACUUUGGUAUUGGAGGUCUUUGCAGCUUCACACCUGCUCCUCUUUGUUCAUUAGCUGGAUCUCAGUGUUAUGCUUGGUUCCACUCGGCGUGAUAAGUUAUCUAUCGCUGAGGACACUGUAAAAGGUGGCCAAGGUAAAUGCAGAUGAACUGCUGCUAAUAGUCCAUUGACUUGGACAAUACUUUUAUGAUCUGAUCUCAAAUCAGGUAGGACUACCCGCUGAACUUAAGC